UACGGAAGGUCCUGGCGUUAUCCGGAUUUAUUGGGUUUAAAGGGAGCGUAGGCCGGAGAUUAAGCGUGUUGUGAAAUGUAGGAGCUCAACUUCUGCACUGCAGCGCGAACUGGUUUCCUUGAGUACGUAGGAAGUUGGCGGAAUUCGUGGUGUAGCGGUGAAAUGCUUAGAUAUCACGAAGAACUCCGAUUGCGAAGGCAGCUGACUGUAUCGUAACUGACGCUGAAGCUCGAAAGUGUGGGUAUCGAACAGG
rnacentral:rRNA from 1 species